GGUAUGUACAAUGCAUUUUAGUCGACUUAACCUCAAUAUUUCUUGAGAGAAAAUUCUUUUGACACUUGGUAUGUUCCCACAUAUGCGAAAAUAUAGCCUCGCUUUGUUGGAGGUUGUUGUAGGUCUACAACGUUAGGCCUGUGCUAGCACGUGACUUUAAAAAACGUACUUGUUUCAUAAUAGCGUUAGUCGGAGCAUUAGUUUCUGCCAGCCUUGAAAUUAUUUCAUAUAAAUUUUGUAUUUCUUUCAGUAUUAAUUUUUGCUUUAUAACAUUUCUUAAUAAACUGUACAGACUGACCAUAAA